GAUGAAGAACGCAGCGAAAUGCGAUAAGUAAUGUGAAUUGCAGAAUUCAGUGAAUCAUCGAAUCUUUGAACGCACAUUGCGCCCAUUAGUAUUCUAGUGGGCAUGCCUAUUCGAGCGUCAUUUCGACCCUUAAGCCCUUGUUGCUUAGCGUUGGGAAUCUACGGCGUAGUUCCUCAAAGUUAGUGGCGGAGUUAGGGUACACUCUCAGCGUAGUAAUCUCUCUCGCUCGUGUGGUGGCCCUGGCUGCUAGCCGUUAAACCCCUAUAUUUUCUAGUGGUUGACCUCGGAUUAGGUAGGAAUACCCGCUGAACUUAAGCAUAUCAAUAAGCGGAGGA
rnacentral:misc_RNA from 1 species